GUCCACGCAGUAAACGAUGAAUACUAGCUGUAUGCGAUAUACUGUAUGUGGCAAAGCGAAAGCGUUAAGUAUUCCACCUGGGGAGUACGUUCGCAAGAAUGAAACUCAAAGGAAUUGACGGGGGCCCCGCACAAGCGGAGGAACAUGUGGUUUAAUUCGAUGAUACGCGAGGAACCUUACCCGGGCUUGAAAUGCAUCUGACCGACGAGGAAACUUGUCUUCUAGCAAUAGCAGAUGUGUAGGUGCUGCAUGGUUGUCGU
rnacentral:rRNA from 1 species